GAUGAACGCUGACAGAAUGCUUAACACAUGCAAGUCAACUUGAACUUCGGUUUGGGUGGCGGACGGGUGAGUAACGCGUAAAGAACUUGCCUCACAGCUAGGGACAACAUUUGGAAACGAAUGCUAAUACCUGAUAUUAUGAUUUUAGGGCAUCCUAGAAUUAUGAAAGCUAUAUGCGCUGUGAGAGAGCUUUGCGUCCCAUUAGCUAGUUGGAGAGGUAACGGCUCACCAAGGCGAUGAUGGGUAGCCGGCCUGAGAGGGUGAACGGCCACAAGGGGACUGAGACACGGCCCUUACUCCUACGGGAGGCAGCAGUGGGGAAUAUUGGACAAUGGACCAAGAGUCUGAUCCAGCAAUUCUGUGUGCACGAUGAAGUUUUUCGGAAUGUAAAGUGCUUUCAGUUGGGAAGAAAAAAAUGACGGUACCAACAGAAGAAGUGACGGCUAAAUACGUG
rnacentral:rRNA from 1 species